rnacentral:lncRNA from 1 species
GGGUCUGGGAACACGGAAAGAUCAUGUAUAUUUUAGUAUAUUUCAAGCGUCAUUUAUCUAGCUAGCACUUCCAAGGACCCAAUUCUGCUCAGAAGGAGUAUUCAGGUUUUUAAUCAUUUUGUACGCCCGAUGAAGUAGAUACCCGCAUGAUUUUACAUGCUAUUCAUGUAGAUAAAGAGUUCGGUGUAAAAGGCAUAUAGGGUAGGAUAAUAAUAAAGUCACAAGAUACA